UAAAAAGCUGGCAGCCUGACAGACUGAGUGACAAUCCCCACCACAUCGCCCUCCUUUCGUCCAGAGCUCUGCACAUUCUGCACCUGCCCUGCUCACUGCAGGGUCACAAGAAGUCAAACGGAGUCCUCUGUCAAACACUUUGACAUGACAGUUGCUACUUGAUGAAAGAAGACUGCAAUCGGAAUGAAAAAGAAGAUAAAAAGACACCAGCUAAUUAAGUGAAAUCAGUUAGACGGAAAAUGGCUCACUGGCCAAAAACCUGCAGCCCAACGGGGUCCACAGCAUUGAACUUGAGAACCACCGGGGGUUCCUCCAUGUUCUUCCCAGGUAAUGAAGACUUGCUGGUCAGACAGACUGGUAAUUCUGAAUCAGCAUGUGUGUGUUAAAUGGACUGGCAUUAUGUCCUGGGUCAGUUGCUGCCUUGCCUUGAGUGAC